rnacentral:ncRNA from 1 species
CAAAGGUUUGGUCCUGACUUUACUAUCAACUUUAGCUAAACUUACACAUGCAAGUCUCCGCGCCCCUGUGAGAAUGCCCAUAGUUCUCUGCCCGAAAACAAGGAGCUGGUAUCAGGCACACACCUAACUUUAGCCCAUGACACCUUGCUUAGCCACACCCUCAAGGGAAUUCAGCAGUGAUAGAUAUUAAGCCCUAAGUGAAAACUUGACUUAGUUAAAGCUAAGAGGGCCGGUAAAACUCGUGCCAGCCACCGCGGUUAUACGAGAGGCCCAAGUUGACAGAUACCGGCGUAAAGCGUGGUUAGGAAAAACUUCUUCACUAAAGCCGAAUGCCCUCAGAACCGUCAUACGUUCCCGAAGGUAAGAAGCCCCAUCACGAAAGUGGCUUUACACUCCCCGACCCCACGAAAGCUGUGAAACAAACUGGGAUUAGAGACCCCACUAUGCCCAGCCCUAAACUUUGAUAGCACUUUACACCCGCUAUCCGCCAGGGAACUACGAGCAUUAGCUUAAAACCCAAAGGACUUGGCGGUGCUUUAGACCCACCUAGAGGAGCCUGUUCUAGAACCGAUAACCCCCGUUCAACCUCACCCUCUCUUGUCAUUUCCGCCUAUAUACCGCCGUCGUCAGCUUACCCUGUGAAGGAACUAUAGUAAGCAAAACUAGUAAAACCCAAAACGCCAGGUCGAGGUGUAGCAUAUGAGAGGGGAAGAAAUGGGCUACAUUCCCUACCCCAGGGAACACGAACAAUAUGAUGAAAAGCACAUUAGAAGGAGGAUUUAGCAGUAAGCAAAAAAUAGAGUGUUUUGCUGAAACCGGCCCUGAAGCGCGCACACACCGCCCGUCACUCUCUCCGAACCAACAACUUUCCCAAAUUUAUAAUACACUUUUCCGGUAAAGGGAGCAAGUCGUAACAUGGUAAGUGUACCGGAAGGUGUACUUGGAAAAAU